UACGUAGGGUGAGAGCGUUGUCCGGAAUUAUUGGGCGUAAAGGGCUCGUAGGCGGUUUGUCGCGUCGGGAGUGAAAACUCAGGGCUUAACCCUGAGCCUGCUUCCGAUACGGGCAGACUAGAGGUAUGCAGGGGAGAACGGAAUUCCUGGUGUAGCGGUGAAAUGCGCAGAUAUCAGGAGGAACACCGGUGGCGAAGGCGGUUCUCUGGGCAUUACCUGACGCUGAGGAGCGAAAGUGUGGGGAGCGAACAGG
rnacentral:rRNA from 1 species